GGAUGCCCUGGCAGUCAGAGGCGAUGAAGGGCGUGCUAAUCUGCGAUAAGCGCCGGUAAGGUGAUAUGAACCGUUAUAACCGGCGAUACCCGAAUGGGGAAACCCAGUGUGACUCGUCACACUAUCAUUAACUGAAUCCAUAGGUUAAUGAGGCGAACCGGGGGAACUGAAACAUCUAAGUACCCCGAGGAAAAGAAAUCAACCGAGAUUCCCCCAGUAGCGGCGAGCGAACGGGGAGGAGCCCAGAGCCUGAAUCAGCAUGUGUGUUAGUGGAAGCGUCUGGAAAGGCGCGCGAUACAGGGUGACAGCCCCGUACACAAAAGCGCAUGUGCUGUGAGCUCGAUGAGUAGGGCGGGACACGUGGUAUCCUGUCUGAAUAUGGGGGGACCAUCCUCCAAGGCUAAAUACUCCUGACUGACCGAUAGUGAACCAGUACCGUGAGGGAAAGGCGAAAAGAACCCCGGCGAGGGGAGUGAAAAAGAACCUGAAACCGUGUA
rnacentral:rRNA from 1 species